GAUGAACGCUAGCGGCAGGCCUAACACAUGCAAGUCGAGGGGUAGAGUUCUUCGGGACUUGAGACCGGCGCACGGGUGCGUAACGCGUAUGCAAUCUACCUUAUACAGGGGAAUAGCUCAGAGAAAUUUGGAUUAAUGCCCCAUAGUGUUAUCGAAUCGCAUGGUUUGAUAACUAAAGUUCCAACGGUAUAAGAUGAGCAUGCGUCCCAUUAGUUAGUUGGUAAGGUAACGGCUUACCAAGACAAUGAUGGGUAGGGGUCCUGAGAGGGAGAUCCCCCACACUGGUACUGAGACACGGACCAGACUCCUACGGGAGGCAGCAGUGAGGAAUAUUGGUCAAUGGGCGCAAGCCUGAACCAGCCAUGCCGCGUGCAGGAAGACGGUCCUAUGGAUUAGUAAACUGCUUUAUACAGGAAGAACCCUCCCACGUGUGGGAGCUUGACGGUACUGUAAGAAUAGGAUCGGCUAACUCCGUGCCAGCAG
rnacentral:rRNA from 1 species